AUCUCUUUGGAGUUGAGGGUAGUGGUGGAGCCGAUGAACCAGACUUGUAGUAGGUAAGCGAUGGGGUGACGCAGGAAGGUAGUCCAGCCCGGGCGGUGGUUGUCCCGGGGUAAAGGUGUAGCCCGUGUGGUAGGUAAAUCCGUCACACUUUUGUUUAACCUGAUGCCGAGCCGAUUGUGGUGAAGUGGAUGAUCCUAUGC
rnacentral:rRNA from 1 species